AUUGAACGCUGGCGGCAGGCCUAACACAUGCAAGUCGAGCGAGCGGCUGACGGGUGAGUAAUGACUGGGAAACUGCCUGACGGAGGGGGAUAACUAAUGGAAACGGUAGCUAAUCCCGCAUACCAUGAGAUGUGCCCAGAUGGGAUUAGCGAGUAGGUGGGGUAAGGGCUCACCUCGGCGACGAUCCCUAGCUGGUCUGAGAGGAUGACCAGCCACCCUGGAACUGGGACACGGCCCCGAUUCCUACGGGAGGCAGCAGUGGCGAAUAUUGCACAUUGGGCGCAAGCCUGAUGCUGCCAUGCCGCGUGUGUGAAGAAGGUCUUGGGCUUGUAAAGCACAUUCAGCGGGGAGGCGUUACCCGCAGAAGAAGCACCGGCUAACUCCGUGCCAGCAGCCGCGGUAAUUC
rnacentral:rRNA from 1 species